CCUACGGGAUGCAGCAGUGAGGAAUAUUGGUCAAUGGACGAGAGUCUGAACCAGCCAAGUAGCGUGAAGGAUGACUGCCCUAUGGGUUGUAAACUUCUUUUAUAUGGGAAUAAAAUGUUCCACGUGUGGGAUUUUGUAUGUACCAUAUGAAUAAGGAUCGGCUAACUCCGUGCCAGCAGCCGCGGUAAUACGGAGGAUCCGAGCGUUAUCCGGAUUUAUUGGGUUUAAAGGGAGCGUAGGUGGAUUGUUAAGUCAGUUGUGAAAGUUUGCGGCUCAACCGUAAAAUUGCAGUUGAAACUGGCAGUCUUGAGUACAGUAUAGGUGGGCGGAAUUCGUGGUGUAGCGGUGAAAUGCUUAGAUAUCACGAAGAACUCCGAUUGCGAAGGCAGUUCACUGGACUGCAACUGACACUGAGGCUCGAAAGUGUGGGUAUCAAACAGGAUUAGAUACCCGAGUAGUC
rnacentral:rRNA from 1 species